AGUCACGGGCUCAGGGAGGAUAUUUGUAAUACGUAUAUCCAGCAGAGGAUUCAGAGUCCAUAAAGAACUCGCAUACGUCAAUAGAAAAAAUUGACAGCUCGAUAGAAAAUAGACAAAUGGCUUCCACUGGCACCUGACAAAAGAGAAUAUUCAAAUAUUCACAGCCUGAGCUGACUGGGACAGGCACACUCGCUUCACCAGAAGACACCACACGGGCAAUGGGAACGCAGGAACCGUGACGCGUCCCGCACCGGUCUGUUUUCUCAGCAUGGGCAACACCCUGGAAUUUCUUCCGGAGAGAUGGGUUCAGCCCCACCAGCAUGUGGUGUCCCUAGAGUCAUGCAGUGCAUAACCUACACAACGGUCCAUGGCAGCCCUGAUCCUCAUCUCACUU